rnacentral:rRNA from 1 species
GGACUACCGGGGUUUCUAAUCCUGUUUGAUCCCCACGCUUUCGCGCCUCAGCGUCAAUGUCGGUCCAGUGAGCCGCCUUCGCCACCGGUGUUCUUCCCAAUCUCUACGAAUUUCACCUCUACACUGGGAAUUCCACUCACCUCUACCGAAUUCAAGUAAUGCAGUCUUGAAUGCAAUUCCAGGGUUGAGCCCUGGGCUUUCACAUCCAACUUGCAGAACCGCCUACGCGCCCUUUACGCCCAGUAAUUCCGAACAACGCUAGCUCCCUUCGUAUUACCGCGGCUGCUGGCAC